rnacentral:rRNA from 1 species
AUGCUGGAAGCAGAUGAAGAGGCGUGCGGAGGAGAUGUUGCGCGUGCAUCCAGCAAAGGCUCUACCCGAGGCAGGGAGCGUGAAGACGGGCGGCUUCAACGGCAACAAAUCCGAGCAGCAUCCUUGACUUCGGCUAUCCUAGCGACUGGAGGACCAGUCCAGGGAGGCCACUCGCUCGGCCAGGAGGGCCGGGGGCAGGUGCCUUCAUUGCCAGCGCCCAUGGUAGCUACUUCGGGUCAGGCGGACCCAGAUCGCAGACCACCCAAGCACGCUAGCCUUGGCCAGGAGGGCCAAGGUUUGGCGGCCAGGAGUGCGCCCAUCAGGGGGGUGCUGUCACUUGGCCAGGAGGGCCUACUUGGGGCGUCCCUGCAUUCUAAGCGGGGUGAUGGCCCUGGUCAGGAGGACCAGGGUGCACGCUUGGGUGCCCCUGCACCACUACUGCACCAAGGCCAGGAGGGCCAUGUGCGGCUACACCUGGGAGCACCCCCAUAUUCCCAAGUGAUGGCUAAUGCUGCUGCCAGUCCGGAGUGUCCUAUUGGCCAGGAGGGCCAAGGGAUCCACUCAAAGGGUGCAGCUAAUGCCGUUUUUGAUGCGGCUGACACUUUUAACACGCAUAAUCAGGUUUUAUUUGAGCCUGGGGUGCUUGAGGCACUUACAGGAGCUGUGGCUGCAAGGCUAGCUAGCCCAGCUACGGCCAUGGAGUCUGGAGUGUUUACUUUUACUGCUAAAAAGAAUCCUAUGCAGGGCAACGCAAAAAGAAAGGAGAGGAAAGGUAAAAAGAAGGGAGGGGAUGAGAAAGCUGAGAGUGCUCGAAAAGAGAUCAUAGGAAAAAAGAGGGGUGAUCCUUUUGGGGUUCCACCAACAGGGAGUGACCAAAAAUUUUCUUUUGAGAGGGAAAUGGAUAGCUAUGAGCGUGUGCUGUAUGGUGACAUGAGUGUUUCUUCCAAGAGAGUCUGUAUGGGUAGAGUUGACACUAUGAGGGAUGGGGAUGGUAUAGUCACACAUGUAGCAAAGGAAACAUAG